rnacentral:pre_miRNA from 1 species
AAAAAAUUCGGAUCAUCGGUCUACCGAGCAAUAUCACCCGCUCAGUGGAAGACCUCCACAGACUU